GAUGAACGCUGGCGGCGUGCCUAAUACAUGCAAGUCGAGCGAACGGACGAGAAGCUUGCUUCUCUGAUGUUAGCGGCGGACGGGUAAGUAACACGUGGAUAACCUACCUAUAAAACUGGGAUAACUUCGGGAAACCGGAGCUAAUACCGGAUAAUAUUUUGAACCGCAUGGUUCAAAAGUGAAAGACGGUCUUGCUGUCACUUAUAGAUGGAUCCGCGCUGCAUUAGCUAGUUGGUAAGGUAACGGCUUACCAAGGCAACGAUGCAUAGCCGACCUGAGAGGGUGGUCGGCCACACUGGAACUGAGACACGGUCCAGACUCCUACGGGAGGCCGCAGUAGGGAAUCUUCCGCAAUGGGCGAAAGCCUGACGGAGCAACGCCGCGUGAGUGCUGAAGGUCUUCGGAUCGUAAAACUCUGUUAUUAGGGAAGAACAUAUGUGUAAGUAACUGUGCACAUCUUGACGGUACCUAAUCAGAAAGCCACGGCUAACUACGUG
rnacentral:rRNA from 1 species